UUGGUUUGGUUUUUGUUGUGUUUUGUUUUGUUUUUUGUUUUGUCUUGGUUUUUUUGUUUUGUUUUGUUUUGAGAUAGUGUUUUUCUAUAUGACCCAGUCUGGCCUCAAUCUUAGGGCCCUUAGCCUCCUAAAUCCUAGGAUUUCAGCUAUACACUGUCAUGUUUAGCUGGAAGGAUUCUUAAUGCAUAGAUUUAUGAUCCUCAACUCCAGGAAUUUUGAUACAUUAAAUAUAUGAAUUUCUAACAAGUACCCAUUUGAUGACAAUAUUCAUCUUAGGACUAGACUUUGGAAACUACUGGUACAGGCUUAGAUAUUAUGUGUUAGCAGGUGUGGUGUGAGAAUUGAUAUGCUGCAGUCCUAUGGAGCUCCCAAAUGAUGCAGAGGCCACACUUUGAUUAGCUAGAAACUAGAUUCCUAGAUAGCUAAGAUACAUAUUAAAGUGUGAGAAGAAACACUGUUCCCUUGUAACUUCAAGUCUUCCUGCUUGGAGACUUCAGGUUCAUUCAAAGUUAGAGUAAACAUCAUGCCAUUUUCACACAUAUAUUUGCCUGAAUAUUUUCCACUGAAAUAUUUGAUUACUAAUAUAUAAAAGUCAUAUAGUAGACUUUUUAGAUGAUAGACAGUUUCUUAAAGAGCCUAGUAUAUAUGGGAGUAUGUAGCAAGAAAGAAAGACUGGGAAAUUAUUAUUUAUAUCUAUACUGAGGUUAUCUAAUUGCCCCAAGUGAACUUAUUAAAACCAUGUCAGAGCAGAAAAUGUAAAUGAAAUGCAGCUGAGGCUCAAUUUUUAAAUGUCAUAUUUAUUUAUUUGCAUAUAGGCAUGCAUGUGCCACCAAGCAUGGAAAUCAGAUGAAAUUGGUGGCAGUUGAUUCUUUCUGCCACAUGUGUACUGAGACUCGAACUCAGGACAUAAGAUUUGGCAACAAGUGCAUUUCCCCGCUGAGCCGUCUCACUAGCCUAUAUCUAGACUCUUAAUUGUGAAAAUCAGAAGGAGAAAGCUUUUAAGUUCUCAUCAAUGGAUAUCUGUGACUCUAGUCUCCAAAUUCCUGGACUGUCUCUCCAAAACACAUAAAAUAAGAGUCUUAAAACUUGAGUGCCAUAGUUAGAGUCACAGGAGCACAGGAGCAAUGAUUUCUGACUUAGAUUGUGCCAGGAUGUGAAAUCAUAAAUUAGAAAUUUUCACCAGUAGUUUAAAUUAUUUGGUGUUGAUCAAAAUGUGAAGAGGAUAACAAACAUAGUCAGAGCCUCUUAGGACAAAGUCUUUUUUUUUUUUUUUCUCUACUAAGGCAAACCUUUUUUGAAAUUAGUCUAAUUAGUUUUAAACCUUUAAAAGUUAUGACAACUGUGGUAAGAAGAUUAAAAACAAAUCACCGAAGUAUGAGCAGUAGACAAGAGGUCUAAGAGAAUUCCUGCCUUCUUAUAUAUCAAGAACUGUGGUAGCAUUUUGCAAUAUUCAUACAAGAGAAUGAGCUGGAAUCGGCAACUGUUCCAGGAAUUCUGGCCUUUAAAAUUUAUGGCCUUUAAGAUUGAUUGAGCUUAACACCUGGAGUUGUACUCCAAAGCAAACAGCGGCUGCUUCAGUCUUUCCCGAGAACAGGAGUCAUGGGCUUGGAACAGCUUUAUUCUCAAGGGAUAAGACAAGAGGAAAUGCACCCGGGACUGGUAAGGGGAACCCCCUGUCUGUAAGGAUCUUUCCUCCCCAAGUAGGGCCCUUUCACCUGUAUCUCUGUAGUCCAUUCCACCACACAUAAAAAACACACACUCUCAAGUGUGGAAUUUUUUUUUACUCACUAUGUGAUUUGGGCUCUAGACAGUUUAUAUUUUAAUAAGCUUAUUUUUAAAAACACCAGCUCUAAGCUGAGUGUGAUAGCUCAGACCUGUAAUAUCAGCAUUCAAACCGUACAGAAGGAGCAGAGGUUCAAGGACAUCCUCAGCUGCAUAGCAAGUUUGAAGCCAGACUGGACUACAAGAGAUCCUGACGCAAAAAAACCUGAAAGCAAACAAAUGAACAACCCCCACCUCACCCCCCGCCAAAACAACCCUUGAGUACCAGGACUGGAGAGACAUAUAGCCUUAACUUGUGCUGGGGGAGUAACAUAGUGCAAUGGUCAGUGAGCUGAGAUUCAGUAGUUAUAGGUCCUAGCCAGGCAAUUUUACUCAGGAGCUCCAGGAACUUAAGCAUCUUCAGAUACUCAUUUCCAUCAUUUGUCAAAACAGACUUGAAUAAGUUGGUUUAAAGAUUCUAGUAUGAUGCUCUAGUUUAGUACCUUCCUAUCAAGAGUCAAGUGGUAUGAUAAUUUAGAGCAUAGACCUUGGUGUCAUGAUACCUUGGUUCAAAUCAAAGCUCUACUACUUACUUGAUUCUGGGAUGUUAAAACUCACUAAAUAUCUGUUUAUCAUAUUAUAGCAGUUUGAAUGAAAAAUGUCCCCCAUAGUCCUAGGCAUUUGAACACUUGGUGCCCAGUAGUUGGCACUGUUGGGGAGAAUUAGGAGGUAUGGCCUCACGGGAAUAAAUAUAUCAUUGGAAUUUCAGAAUUUCAACUUGUGCCAUUUCUAACCCCCCCUUUUCUGCCUCUCUCUUGUCUUUCCUUCCCUCUCUCCCUCCCGCUUUUCUUCCUUCCUCCCUUGUUUUCUCCCUCCUCUGCUUUGUGCUUGUGGUUUUACAUGUGACCUCUCAGCUUCCUGUUCCUGCCACCAUGCCUGCUGCUUGGUGUCAUGCCUCUGCUCUACCACCAUGGAUUCUCAGCCCUCUGGAGCAGUAAUUCCAAAAUAACCCCAUUCCUUCUGUAAAUUGCCAUGGUCACUGUGUCUUAUCCCAGCAACAGAGAAGUAACUACUACACACAUUUAAAUGUGGUUGAUAGUAAUAAUAACCUAGUGCCCAGGAACAGGCAAAAUGCCCACCAUCCCUUCAGGGUCACUGGGGUUUCUAGCCUUAGCUCAAUUGGGAACCAGGAUACCUUUCACAGCCCACUGCCCAACAUGGAAAGCUCUCAAUAAGCUAAUUAGUAUUACUACUAUUCUUCUUAUUCCUUUCCUGAAUUGUUACCAUAGAUAUGACAGCACUCAAGAGAGUCCCUAUGCAAAACUGCUUUCCCUACCAUCUCAAAUUCUACUAAUUUAGAAUUAUUAGCUAAGCACAGUAGGACAUGCCUAUAGCUCCAGUUUUAUGGAGACUGAUAUGGGAACCUUACUUGAGACUAGGAUUUUCAGACCACCCUGGGCAAUAUAGAAAAAAAAAAAACCAAACAAACAAAAACAAACAAACAAAAAACCCUUAUAUCAGAGAAAAAAUAUUGUAAGUUUUCUUAUUCUCUGCUAAAAAUGAAAGUAGAUGCCAUGAACAGAUGAAUGGAUAAUGAAAAUUUGGUACAUAUGAAAAAUUUACAGCUCUAAAGAAAAACAUAAUAGUAAAAUUUUCAGGAAAAUGGGUGAAUUUAGCAUAGGAAAUAUUAAACAAGGUCAUACAAUCU
rnacentral:lncRNA from 1 species